AGUUAAUGAACUUGAAUAAGUAUAUGUUUUGAAAACAUUAUAUAGAGUAAAAACCUCUAUUAACUU
rnacentral:tRNA from 1 species